AAUCAGUUGAUUUCCUAAUUUAGUUCUUUCACCAUGUUCGUUUGGGUUUUUUAACUUUUUGUUUUGUUUUGAACAUUGAAGCGUGGCUCUUAGCUUCUGAGAUCUCCGACGAAGAUUAAAAAAAAAAAAAAAGCUCUUCGGCUACUGGCAGGUUUCGAGCUCACUCUGCUAGAAAACCCUAAAAUUUGAUGUUGUAAACUUCCCCUGGCGAAUUUCAAAUCAGAGCAGACUUGAAUUUUAUCAAGGUGAGAAGCUUAGGGGUAGCUUUUGUCAAUUCUGCGUUCAAAUUUAAGUCUUUAGAUGGAUGGUAAGGGGAGGAAAUCUGCUUCCAAGAGAGGAUCCAAGAUUUUUCAGUUUGAAGAUGAUGCUGAUGAUGAUGAACCUAUCGGAUCUCUUUUAGAGGUCAUGAAGCAUAAAACUUCCAAGAAGAAUAAGGCUGAGACAGAAAGUACUGGUAAACGGAGGCACAAACAGGCUGUGGAGAAGAAACUGAGUGCUUUGGACAAGGUUUCUGAAGAUAUGGAUGACACCUUAGCCAGUUUUAGGAAGAGAUUGAAAGGCACCAAGAAAGGUGUUGGAUCAGGAACCCGGGUUCCUCCUAUUGAUACUGUAACAAAUGCGGAUUUGAACCUGAUUGAGGAAGGCAACACAAAUGAGGUGCAGAGUUUGUUACUUGGGGAAGGUUUGAAUAACAUAUCUGUCAAGAAGAUGGUUGAUUCAACAGUAGAAUGUCAAACUCAUAGGACUCUCUUAGAUUCCGGCACGAGUAUUAAAAGAAUGGAUUGCAUCUCAGAAAACGGUGCCUCUAGUUCUAUUCAAAAGUGUGCUUCAGAAACUGGACCCCUCCUGCAUAAAAUUUAUGGUAAGGAUGAGGCAGCCUCUCCCGGUCAUGAAAAAUUAGAAAUACCUAUGACAGUAUCCAGCGAGAAGGAAGCAAAUGUCGUUCAUCAUAUUACAGAUGAGGAAUCCGAAAGGCCACUGUCGGAGAAGGCUGUGGAGCUUUCCAGGGUGGCUGUUCCCAUGGCAGAUGUCCAUGGCGAAGUUUAUUCUCCUACUGAUAGAAAAGAAGUUGCAGUUAUUGCUCCUGAUCAGCACAGACACUUGAGAGAGCCAGCUUCAGAGUCUGGUUAUUCGCGAGAGAAAAAUUUAGUUAUGUGUGAUUGUGGCAUCCAAGUUAAUGUGGAGGAUCAUUCCUUUGAGUCUAAUACUCAGGUUACUCUUUGUCAUAAGUGCAAGUAUUCUUCACAUCAUAAUGCUUCUAAUGGAAGUGGUAUUCAAGUUAAUACUCUAGAAGAUGGAACUGCUGAAGCUUCCCCGGUUUCUGUAACUCCCUGUGAAGAUGAACAUUUCCGUGGUGAUGCAGUUUCUUUACCUAAUUCUGGGAAGACAUCUACCUUGCAACGCCCAGAGCGUAUUGCUAGAAAGCGUAAGCUUGGAAACAUGGUGUAUGAAGGAGACAUGAAUUGGGAGAAUGAGCAAGGCUUUCUUGAUUGUCGAAGUGACAGGUCCUUUAAAGGAAGCGACAAGUGUGAUUUUGUUCCAUCUAUUCCCAAGGUAACUGAUAUUGGGAGAGCAGCUGCGGUGACAGCUGGACUUAAAGCCCAGUCAGUAAGUCCAAUUGAGAAGAUUAUACUUAAAGAGGUGUUGAAGCGCAAAGGUAGCCAUCAGGAGUACCUAGUUUGCAGGAAUUAUAUCUUAGGCCUAUGGAGUAAAAAUGUCACUCGAAUCUUACCUGUCACUGAGUGUGGUGUUACUGGUGGCCCUCCUGAGAGUGAAUUGCCAUCAGCUUCCCUUAUCAGAGAAGUCUAUAAGUUUCUUGAUCAGAGAGGUUAUAUAAAUGCGGGAAUUUCAUCUGUGAAGGGGAAAGAGGGAUCUUCGACAAAUCAAGACUAUGAUCUCCUCCAAGGGAAAAAGCGUGAAGAAAGUUAUAUGGCUUCUGUGGCAGACUCUGAAGAGGGAGUUGCUUUUAUCCUUGGUCAGGUCAAAGCCGUUGAAUCGACUAGUGAGGAUAAGAAAUGUGCUCUCCAAAAUGAUGAAAGGGACCUGGUAGGAUGCGCGACCUCGGAAAUGUUGGGAUCUACCAGGAAAACAUGCGAGGAAGACAUAGUUGAUGAUUGCAAACAUUCUGUGAGCAUAAAUGCUUUACAGGAUGGUACUGCAUCUAAGGUUGAAAAGCAUCCUGAAACACUUUCAGUAGCGAAACCUGCUUUGUCUAGCACACUCUCGUCUGCAAAUAGUAAUCAAACGAGAGAUAGGAACUGGGUUCAAUGUGAGGUUAGAGAUGAGAAGAAAGUUAUAGUAAUUGGGGCUGGUCCUGCUGGAUUAACAGCAGCACGUCAUUUACAGCGCCAGGGUUUUUCUGUAACCGUUCUUGAGGCAAGGCGUAGAGUAGGUGGUCGUGUAUAUACGGACCGGUCAUCUCUUUCAGUUCCUGUGGAUCUUGGGGCUAGCAUAAUUACAGGCAUUGAGGCUGAUGUGCCAUCUGAAAGAAUGCCAGAUCCUUCGGUAUUGGUCUGUAACCAGUUAGGUCUGGAGUUGAGCGUGUUGCAUGGAUUCUGUCCUCUUUAUGAUACUGUAACAGGGGAAAAGGUUCCUGCAGAAUUAGAUGAUGCUCUACAAGCAGAGUUCAACAGUCUAAUUGAUGAUGUGGAUUUGCUUGUUGAGGAAAUAGGCAAGGAAAGAGCAGAUAAAUUGUCCCUCGAGGAUGGUUUAGAAUUUGGCCUUCAACGGCUGAGAAUGCCACAUGACAAGGUGAACAUUGAAAAAAUUGGGCUUGUCAAUGCAACGGAUUCUUCCUGCUCAAAAACUGAUGCCUGUUCGAAAGAUGAUUUUUUGAAUCCUCUGGAGCGAAGAGUUAUAAAUUGGCAUUUUGCUCACACAGAAUAUGGUUGCGCUGCUGUUCUCAAGGAAGUGUCGCUUCCUCACUGGAAUCAAGAUGAGUUUUAUGGCGGAUUUGGAGGGCCACAUGCUAUGAUUAAGGGUGGCUAUAGCCGAGUUGUUGAGUCGCUUGCAGAAGGACUUGACAUUCACUUGAACAAAAUAGUUUCUGAGGUAUCUUACGCCUCUGAUGUUUCUGCCGUACAUAACAGCAAGCAUAAAGUCAGAGUUAGUACAUCAAAUGGCUGUGAGUAUUUUGGAGAUGCUGUUCUGGUAACUGUUCCUCUUGGAUGCUUGAAAGCAGAAACUAUUAAGUUUUCACCACCCUUGCCGGACUGGAAGUAUUCGUCAAUCAAGCAACUUGGUUUUGGAGUUUUAAAUAAAGUUGUGUUGGAGUUCCCAAAGGUAUUUUGGGAUGAUAGUGUUGAUUAUUUUGGGGUAACGGCGGAGGAAGCAGAUCUAAGAGGUGAGUGCUUUAUGUUUUGGAAUGUCAAAAAAACUGUUGGUGCUCCUGUCCUGAUAGCUUUGGUGGUUGGGAAGGCUGCUUUUGAAUAUACAAACAAGAGUAAGUCUGAGCACGUGAACCAUGCAAUGAUGGUUCUUCGUAAGCUUUUUGGUGGGGAUCUGGUUCCUGAUCCUGUUGCCUCUGUUGUUACUGACUGGGGCACUGAUCCUUACAGUUAUGGUGCCUACUCAUAUGUUGCUAUUGGUGCUUCUGGUGAAGAUUAUGAUGUAUUGGGAAGGCCUGUUCAGAAUUGUUUGUUUUUUGCUGGUGAGGCAACAUGCAAAGAGCAUCCUGACACAGUUGGUGGUGCAAUGAUGACUGGAGUUCGGGAAGCUGUGCGUAUAAUUGAUAUACUUAGAAGUGGAAAUGAUUACACAGCAGAAAUAGAAACACUAGAAAAAGCGCAGAGGAAAUCUGUUCCUGUAAGGGAUGAAGUCAAAGACCUAAUAAAGAGGCUUGAAGUUGUUGAGCUGUCUAAUGUGCUGGCCAGGCAAUCAUUGCUACGGAACAUGUUCUUCUCUGCUAAAACAACUGUUGGGCGUUUGCAUUUAGCCAAGGAGUUGCUUAAUCUACCUGGUGAAGCCUUGAAAUCCUUUGCAGGUACAAAAGAGGGGCUUGCAGUGCUGAACUCUUGGAUCCUGGAUUCGAUGGGGAAGAAUGGAACCCAACUUUUACGUCACUGUGUACAUAUUCUUGUUCGAGUUACGAGUGAUCUCUUUGCCGUGAGGCUCUCAGGCAUUGGAAAGACUGUGAAAGAAAAGGUUUGUGCACACACGAGCCGUGAUAUCCGCGCCAUUGCAAGUCAGCUUGUUAAUGUGUGGCUGGAACUAUACCGGAAAGAAAAAGCUAAUAGUGGAAAGAAAUCAUCGAGACAAGCGAAUACUAUAAAUACCUCUAGAAUAAGAAGAAAACUGAAUAGUGCGGACACAGACAGUAAGGGAAAACUGAGCAAUGGCAACGAUGGGAAAACAGAUGGAGAGCUUGAAGACAACCAGCUACCUAUGUCAGAGGAAGAGAAGGCUGUGUUUGCUGAAGCUGAGGCAGCUCGUGCAGCAGCAGAAGCAGCUGCCAAGGCAUUUUCUGAGGCCUAUCAUAAUACUUCAUUGCAGCUUCCUAAGAUUCCCUCGUUUCAUAAGUUUGCCAGGCGAGAGCAGUAUGCAAAGAUGGACGAAUCUGAUUUCAGGAAAAAGUUUCCUGGCAAUGUCUUUGGAAGACAAGAUUGUAUGUCAGAGAUAGACUCGAGGAACUGCAAAGUUCGGGACUGGUAUGAUUUUCCUGCCUCGUGUCUUGACCUUGACAAUUCAAGGAUUCCAGUCGAUAACUAUUCACAGCGUAGCCAUUCGAAUGAGCUUGUAUCUCAUUCCAAGUUCAGAGAAUGUUCUGGAGAAAGUGGGGCUGCGGAUACCAGUUUUUUAACUGGGGCAUGGGUUGAUACUGGUGGUAGUAGUGAUGGUUUCAAGGAUUCCCAGGCUAUCGAUAGAUGGCAAUCUCAAGCUGCUGCUGCUGAUCCUGAAUUUUUCAAUCGUACUUUGCAUAUUAAGAAUGAUGAAGAUUCGAUUGCAUGUUCAACAGGCCCUCCGAGUUGGAAGAAUGACCAACAAGCGAAUGAAUGCUCUGUGUCACAGGUUACAGUGAAUAAAGAGUCACAUAAAACUCAUAUCCGGAGUGCAGAUCGUUUGAAACAGGGGGUUGUAGAUUUUGUUGCAUCGUUGCUUAUGGCCCCUUAUAAAGCAAAGAAAAUUGAUAGAGAUGUAUACAAGUCAAUAAUGAAGAAGACCGCAACAAAGGUUAUGCAACAUACAACAGAUGUGGAGAAAGCCAUGGCUGUUCAGCAAUUCCUCGACUCAAAGCGGAAAAACAAGAUUCGUGACUUUGUGGACAAACAAGUUGACAAGUAUAUGGCGAUAGCUCAAGUUCCAAAACCUUGAUGACCGUUAGGAUCUACAGUAAUGUCCAAUGGUUGAGUUGGUAUCCGAUGGGAGGGCAAGCCCCUUUAUAGAAACCACAUAUCAUCGCUCAUUUUAUGAGGAAGGUUAUCUCAAAGAAGCAGAUGGUCUGAUGCAGAAGAGAGUUUUUGCAUGAGAUUUUGUCAUACUAUAUGAUUGGCAGAGACAAGUUUUUGGUACUAACAUGAUAUGAUGAAGAAUUUGGUCUUGCUAUGUUGGAAGGUGUAUCACUUUUACUCUUGCAGGUAAAAGAUGGAUCAUCAAAGAAUGGAAAGUAACGAUUGGUUCAGCUCCCAGGCAUUUCGGGAUUGAUGUUCUUCAGUGCCUUAGACUUAGGAGCAGCUUGUGGAACAGGAACUGCAAAAAUGCAGGUGAGGAAACUUAAGACUUGGCUAAAUACACUUUGACCCAUGUUGGUGAGAGCUGGAAUCUUUGUAAUCGAAGCUGUUAAGAUAUAGAUACCUUGGUUCAAGAAUCACUCUGCUUUUGAUGGGAGGAGGACGGUGGUGAAAGUUGAGAAACUGGUGCUAUCCUCUGACGCGGACGGAGGUGGAAUAGCAGGCGUAGCUCAUGGAAGAGUCUCGGAAGAAAGAGAGACCCAAAGACCUCAUCCGAUCAAGGAUAUGGAUAGGAACGCCAUAGUUGAUCACGUGGAAGGCUCCCCUGUUGCGACAAGCGUCACCGAUGGCUUGCAACAAAUGGGGUUGUAAAAAAAAAAGAGAGCGAGAAUGUUGCUAAUGUUUCAAAAUUAUGUCUACAUUAAGGAGAGUAAUGCACAAAGAUCGGUUUAUACGGAAAAGUUCAAUCGUUCCAGCCAUCGGGAAUCGCAUAUGGAGAGAUCUGAUUCACAAUCCCUUCCAUUUGAUAUUCUCAGUAGAUGUUUUUGGGUAUGAGUAGCUCAGGAGCUUUCAACUAAUGGUCAAUUCCUGCAACUACGGGCAAAACAGGAUGCUCCUUCACCUAGCAGAAGCAAGUUGGCAUUUUGGCUGUACAUAAAUAUUCAGGGAACCCUCAAGAUUCCCUUUAUCUGAUUGCUAUGAUCAAGAGCAUUUCUUUAUUCCAUAGAAGCGCAUUGUCUUUGUGACCAACAAGAGAGUUGUGUUACGUUAUUACAGGUUAAACCAACUAAAAUACGAUUUCACAUGAAGGUUUCCAUUAGUGUCUUAUAAUUAUAUUA